CAGACAGUGUACAAUAGAAGAAUAUUCAGCUCUUGCACCACUUGGGGGAAGGUAACGACUUUGAACCUUUCACUUCCAUUUUCCGGAGGGAAUCUAGAAAGAACCUAGCAUGGGUGAGGCGUCACAUUGGGACGCCAUCUAAUGUACAUGCCUGUCUCCCUCCAGUCCUGGCAGGGCUCUAGGGGUCCAGGAUCGGCCAGUCUGCAGCAGAGGUGAGAGAGUGAUCACAGCGGGUAGAGGCCGUCAAGCCAGGUGGGCGCCCUGGACUCCAGGGCUCCUGCAGCAGGGAGGACCGCAGGGGGCGCUGCGCGUGGCAAGUGCAGGCACCUGCGAUAAGACCCCGCGUGCGGACGAGAUACUCCGCCCUGCGGCGGGAGGGAGGGAGGGACGGCUGGUGAGCGUUGGCCUUCGGCCUUCGUCUCCUAACGCCCCGGGGCGAGGCUGGACUUUCCACAGUUAGCUGGACGAGGGGAGUCUUGAGAAAUGGCGUUUUGUUGUAAUCGGGUGUGUGCCACUCCCCGGCCCUGAACCGAAUGUGCAAGAAAGAUUGGAGGUUGUGAAAUCCAAAUCGGAAGACGCUGCCUCACUGCGGAUACUGUGCCGGCCUUAUCUGUCUGUCCUCCCAGCAUGGUUAAAGACCCUUAGACAGGAACCAAGAUGCUUAGUAGACGAUUGCUGCCAGAUUUGACCUGGGAAGACCCACAGGCAAUGCUUCCUAACAAAGAAUGGCUCUGAUGAACUCUUCAGCUCUGGGCCAUUCCGAAUCCCAAGAGGAACGUGUCCCAUUUCCUUGUACUAGCCGCUUGUAGAUAAGCUAAAAGGCUCUAAAGUCACAGAAUCAAACUAUAAGGAUAUUCCUUCAGCAUCACUGUCAAGAGUAUACUCAGACAUACAACCACCUUGCAUGUUCACACAGACACACACUUGUUAUUCUCUACGUACUCUAUAUCAGAAGCCAUUCUGGGUGCUGUGGGACCCCACGAUGAAUAAAACAAUGUAGUCUUGCCCUCAAGCAGCUCUCGGUUUGAGUUUUUUUUGCAAAAAUGUAGUAUUUUAAGCCAUCACUGAUUCACAAUGGAAGUAGGCACUAAUUCCAACCGAAGGUUUAGAGAUGAGAUGGAGGGACGGAACACCAGAGGUGUGAGUGGGCAGGAGACAGGACCACUGAAAGGGUGGGAAAAGGAAACUGUGGCAUAACCCUGGCCUUGCAGUCAGAGACUCAGAGUCCAGAUCUUCCAAUGACCAGCAAGUGCACACAACUACAUUUUUUGUAGUUAGUAUAUAUUUUAUGAUUAAUAUUUUUUAAUUACCCCCCAAAAAUCCUUAGUUCUCUUUUUCAAAAUCAAAUGAGAACAUGGAUGAAAGUAUACAGCCAGAGCUUAUACUAGUAGCUUAGCUAGUAUACUAGUUUUUAAAAACGUAGUAUCCCCUUUAUGAAUGCUCAAUACAAUUUUGGUAUUAUACUUUACAUUAAUACACAUUUUGUUAAUGAAGUUUUGGUCAUAACGCUGAGGGACAGAUUGUAAAGCAGCGGGGUUAAAAAAAACAGUGAAACUUUCAAGUCAGCUUUUUAAAGUCAAAUUAGGGUUCUAGCUCUUGACAGCCAGCUAGCUUACCUUAAAGAAGUUCUUUUAUCAUGGUAAAUUUUCAGAGUCGUAAAGACGAAAUGUUAGGGAGAUAAAGCCCUCACGAUAGUGAUUGACACUCCUCGAAUAUUAACUUCGCUCUUCAUGACCCCCAGCUGUACUGGCCCCUCGAGUUGUGGCUGCUCCACACGCAAGCUGGGUGCUCCUUGAGCCCCUGUGCUCUUCUCCAGCGGUGAGGCAGGGAGGAGACGUUAACUCUCCUGCCCCCUGGUGGCUGAACACGGCCUGCAGCAUCAGUACAGCUCAAACCACACUCCCUCCUGGGGGCUCCGACCUGAGAGCACAGCAGACACCGACACUGUCUGGGCUGCUGGUGACAGCCCUGGUGCCUGUGGCAGAGCCUGGGCAGUGUUGUGGCACUCUGGUCCCCCAGCAACAUCUCAUCAAGCCUGUGAGCUGCACACA